UAACCCCUUAACCCCUAAUUUAUACCCAAACACUAUUCUUAAGGGGUGGGGUUUACUAACCCCACCCCAAACCGGGUUAGUGGGGUUUACUAACCCCACUCCCCCUCCCAACUUUAACCCCGCACGCAUCCCGAGCCCUCACCUUUUUCUUCUUUAUCAAUCAUUAACCCCAUUCCCCCUCCCAACUUUAACCCCGCACGCAUCCCGAGCCCUCACCUUUUUCUUCUUUAUCAAUCAUUAACCCCACUCCCCCUCCCAACUUUAACCCCGCACGCAUCCCGAGCCCUCACUUUUUUCUUCUUUAUCAAUUGUUAUUUUCUUAUCCCACCUACUCCAACCAAACACUUUUUUUCACUAUUUUAGACUAACUCCAACCUCCAACCAAACACUAUGGGUUUCAUAACUUGUUUUUUGUUCCUUCUACGAAAACUCCAAU
rnacentral:lncRNA from 1 species